rnacentral:rRNA from 1 species
CGAGGACGAACGCUGGCGGCGUGCUUAACACAUGCAAGUCGAACGGUGACGAGGAGCUUGCUCCUCCGAUCAGUGGCGAACGGGUGAGUAACACGUGAGCAACCUGCCCCUCACUCUGGGAUAACAGUUGGAAACAGCUGCUAAUACCGGAUACGACACAGACAGGCAUCUGUACUGUGUGGAAAGUUUUUCGGUGAGGGAUGGGCUCGCGGCCUAUCAGUUUGUUGGUGGGGUAAUGGCCUACCAAGACGACGACGGGUAGCCGGCCUGAGAGGGCGACCGGCCACACUGGGACUGAGACACGGCCCAGACUCCUACGGGAGGCAGCAGUGGGGAAUAUUGCACAAUGGGCGAAAGCCUGAUGCAGCGACGCCGCGUGAGGGAUGACGGCCUUCGGGUUGUAAACCUCUUUCAGACAGGGAAGAAGCGAAAGUGACGGUACCUGCAGAAGAAGCACCGGCUAACUACGUG